UACAGAGGGUGCAAGCGUUGUUCGGAAUUAUUGGGCGUAAAGGGCGCGUAGGCGGUGCGGUAAGUCACCUGUGAAACCUCUGGGCUUAACUCAGAGCCUGCAGGCGAAACUGCCGUGCUUGAGUGUGGGAGAGGUGCGUGGAAUUCCCGGUGUAGCGGUGAAAUGCGUAGAUAUUGGGAAGAACACCGGUGGCGAAGGCGGCUCACUGGCUCAUUUCUGACGCUCAGGCGCGACAGCGUGGGGAUCAAACAGG
rnacentral:rRNA from 1 species